GAACCCUUGGAAGAUUUUUUUAAACAGAGGAGUGACGUGAUCAGAUUUGUAUUUUAGAAAAAUCACUCUGCUCUACAUGAUCCAGCUGCAGGACCUUGCCCCAACUUUCUAAAACUUAUUGUGUGCGUCUUUGUGCAUUGGUCUUUGAACUUGAAGUACAUAGGUCCACUUUUAGUUUUGCAAACACACCAAGCUCUCUCUCACUUCAAGGCUUUUGCACAUGUUCUUCCCUCUGCCUAGAAUACUUUCCUCCAUCUCAUGGCAUUUACUCAUUUUUGAGUCUAUUUCAAACGUCAUUUCUUUAGAAAGGCCUUUUCUACCCAAUCUAUCUGUAUUAGUUUUCUAUUGCUGCCAUAACAAAUUGUCACAAAAUUAGAGGUUUAAACAAUGAGAUUUAUUAUCUUACAGUUCUGGGAGUCAGAAGUCCAAAAUCAAAGGUUUAGCAGGGCUGAGUUUCUUCUGGAGAAUGCGUUUCCUUUUCUUUUCCAGCUUCUAUAGGCAGCCUGAAUUCCUUGGCUCAUGACCCCUUCCUCCAUCUUCAAAGCUGGAAACAGUGUCUCAGGUCUUUCUCACACUGCCAGCCCUUUGGUUUCCUAAUCCCCACUUCGACCUUUAAAGACUCUUGUAAUUACAUUGGGCCCAAGCAGGUGAUUCAAGAUAAUCUCCCCAUUUUAAGGUCAGCUGAUUAGCAAUAUUAAUUCCAUCUGCAAGCUGAAUUCUCUUUAGGUCUAUAACCUAACACAUUCACAAGUUCAGGGAUUAAGACAGACAUUUUUUGGAGGGCCAUUAUUCUGCCUACCACAGUAUUUAAAGUAGGUCUCCCUGAUAUUCUCUUGCUUAGCUCUUGUUUGCUUCAUGGCACUAAGCAGAAAUUUGAAUUUACUUAUUUCUUUGCUUGUUUUCUUUUUCUUCCUCUCUUCGGAAUGUAGUCUCUGCUAGGGCAGGAACCAUCUGUCUUGCUUGCCUUUGUGUGCCUAGCAAAUAGUAGAUGCUCAAUAAACAUUGCUGGAAUGAAUUGACAAAUGAAUGAAGAGUUGUUGAAAGGAUAGAUCAUGGAAUUUAAGUUGGAAAGGGAUUAAAGUAAAACUUUGAAGAGGUGAUGGAGACCCAGUCUUCAGAGGAGUAACUAAGGAAAGCAGCUAGAAAGAUGAGAGGCUGUGGAUUGAGAGUAAGACAUUAGAAUGCAUGAUUUUACAGGUGAAAAAUGCUAAGGGUAUUUUAAUAUCUAGUAAAGUUAUUCAUAAAUAUCUCUGGUGGAGUUUGGGGUCCCUUUAAAAUAAAAUAGUAGUAUGUGCUCUCUCUUAAGGAAAAUAUAUAACUAACAUCCACACAAAAUUUUGCAUCUAUUUCAGGAGGCCCACAGCUGUCCAAAUCUUCAGUGAAUGAGGGGAGUGACUUAGAGGCCGGGAAAUGACAGUAUAAGGAGGAUAGAGAGGAUGGUAACUAUAACUCAUGCAAUUAAGUGAAAAAAGAGCUACUCAAGUUAUCAACACUGAUCUCUUGGGACCGCAUACUCUUUGAGGAUGAAGCUCUGGGGAGAAUGGGAAAGACCAUGGAGGACUCAAAUGCCUCAGAAAGAUCAUUCUUCCUGUCAUGACAGAACCUCAGCUGGUUCUAUCAAAGGUUCUGGUCAAAGGUCAGAGGAGCACGAAGUAGAUAUUAGAGGUGGUGCUAAGCGAUAAACACCAGCUGUAGUGUUAUGGUCAGCUGGGGAGAUGAAGUUACAGCCUCUAGUUGCAUCUUCUUACUUACUGUAUAAUAAAAAAAAAAAAACAGUUUUUCUGUUAUUUUCUCUUCCUCUCAGGUUAUUUGGGAUUAUUUACUGUUUAACCUAUAAGUGUAGACCACAAAGGUAUGGCCAUGAUGGAAUUUUCCAGGAGUUCUGGACCUAAAG
rnacentral:lncRNA from 1 species